UACAGAGGGUGCAAGCGUUAAUCGGAAUUACUGGGCGUAAAGGGUGUGUAGGUGGUUGCGUAAGUUAGAUGUGAAAUCCCCGGGCUUAACCUGGGAACUGCGUUUAAAACUGCGUAGCUAGAGUAUUGCAGAGGAUAGUGGAAUUUCCAGUGUAGCGGUGAAAUGCGUAGAUAUUGGAAGGAACACCAGUGGCGAAGGCGACUAUCUGGGCAAAUACUGACACUGAGACACGAAAGCAUGGGGAGCAAACAGGAUUAGAUACCCUGGUAGUCCAUGCUGUAAACUAUGAGAACUUGCUGUUGGAUGCAUAAAGGCAUUUAGUAGCGAAGCUAACGCGUUAAGUUCUCCGCCUGGGGAGUACGGUCGCAAGACUAAA
rnacentral:rRNA from 1 species